rnacentral:rRNA from 1 species
GAUGAACGCUGGCGGCGUGCCUAAUACAUGCAAGUCGAGCGGUAACACUUCGGGUGACGAGCGGCGGACGGCUGAGUAGCGCGUAGGAACGUACCCCAAAGUAGAGGGAUAACUGCUCGAAAGAGUAGCUAAUACCGCAUGUGCUCUACGGAGUAAAGCUUUAUGCGCUUUGGGAACGGCCUGCGUAUGAUUAGCUUGUUGGUGAGGUAAUGGCUCACCAAGGCGACGAUCAUUAGCUGGUCUGAGAGGAUGAUCAGCCAGACUGGGGCUGAGACACGGCCCAGACUCCUACGGGAGGCAGCAGUAGGGAAUUUUCCACAAUGGGCGAAAGCCUGACGCAGCGACGCCGCGUGGGGGAUGAAGGUCUUCGGAUUGUAAACCCCUUUCGGGAGGGAAGAUGGAGCGAGCAAUCGUUCGGACGGUACCUCCAGAAGCAGCCACGGCCAAC